CUUGACACUGAACAUUGAGCCUUGAUGUGUAGGAUAGGUGGGAGGCUUUGAAGUGUGGACGCCAGUCUGCAUGGAGCCGGCCUUGAAAUACCACCCUUUAAUGUUUGAUGUUCUAACGUUGGCCCCUGAUCGGGGUUGCGGACAGUGUCUGGUGGGUAGUUUGACUGGGGCGGUCUCCUCCUAAAGAGUAACGGAGGAGCACGAAGGUUGGCUAAUCCUGGUCGGACAUCAGGAGGUUAGUGCAAUGGCAUAAGCCA
rnacentral:rRNA from 1 species